rnacentral:lncRNA from 1 species
GUUUUGGCGCCCAUACCGGACGGGGUAUGGGGACGGCCCGUUUCACCCUCAUACCGGACGGGGUAAUGAGGUCUAUGGUUUGGCGCCCAUACCGGACGGGGUAUGGGGACGGCCCUGGAAUAUGAUUUCAAGUGUUACGGAUUAACGGGUAGCGGGACCCCUAUGGAUCCCCAUGGAUACUAGUGGGCUGGUGAAUGAGGAAAAGAUAUGUUGUAUAAUGAUUGAAUUACCAAAGGCGUGAUAAGUGUUAUGUUUUACAGUUUAUAUGAUUCCAUGAUUAUGAUAAUGUUAUUGCUUAAUUAGGAAAAUAUGUUGAGUAACGAUUGAAUUACGAAAAGUGUGAUAGGUAUUAUGUUAUACAGUUCAUAUAUAUGUUUUCAUGAUGAUGAUGAUGUUAUGGCUUUCGUAUAUUGUUCUAUGAAUUUCACCGAGGUAAGUGAAUGGUAAAGGUUUUAUUAUCGAUAAAAGGAUUUGUUGUAAAUUAUGCUCCAUUGGUCUUUUUGUGUUUUCUACCCACCUUUACCUCCGUGACGGUGAGAUAUCGUGAUGUCUUUACUGGGCUAGUGUAGCUCAUUCCUUAUUUAAUCAUUUCAGAUCAAGAGGACAUCGUUCCCGAGCUGGUUCCGCAGGAGGACGACGAAGGGGACGCCUAAAGACUCCAUAGUCACAUUCGUAGUUUUUACUUUCGAGUUUUCUCCCUUAGGUAGUUUGAUCCUUUAUAUUUUGUGAGUACGUUUUUGG